UGUGGAUGGCUGAGGAAGCCUCCUCAGCAGCUGUGAAAUGGUCCCUCCCAGCAGGAUCUUCAACAACAAGCAUUGUUCUGGAUUUUUGCAUAAGAGAAGAUAUUUCUCAUACAAACUGGAACACUACAGGCAUUGAACAAACUCAGGAGAAAGAGUCCUUGUCUUGGACUGUGAAUUGGGCAUAAUACAAGUCUGGUGGUGGACAAAGGUACAUAACAUUUUUCUCUGUGAUCUUCUGGGAGUGCUCACAAAGGCCUAUAUAGAAAAAGAGAUGAUGAAUGGAAAGGACCCUGCUCGAGUUUCCUUCUGGGAUAACCAGCGUGAAAAAGGCAGGACUGAGUCACUGAAGUGAAAUCCAACAUUCCACUGAGGUGUCAAGCAAUGAUUUGUCUCUAGGCACACACUGCAAUUGCAAGCAUGCUGCCUUAUAUUACAUUAAGCUCUAUGUUUUCAUUUAUCUGUUUCUUAGGCUGAUUA